rnacentral:rRNA from 1 species
UGAGGAAUAUUGGACAAUGGAUGGAAAUCUGAUCCAGCCAUGCCGCGUGCAGGAAGACGGCCCUAUGGGUUGUAAACUGCUUUUGUAUGGGAGCAAUAAGGACUACGUGUAGGUUGAUGAGAGUACCAUACGAAUAAGCAUCGGCUAACUCCGUGCCAGCAGCCGCGGUAAUACGGAGGAUGCGAGCGUUAUCCGGAUUUAUUGGGUUUAAAGGGUGCGUAGGUGGGUAUGUAAGUCAGUGGUGAAAUCCCCGAGCUUAACUUGGGAACUGCCAUUGAUACUAUAUAUCUUGAAUACCGUAGAGGUAAGCGGAAUAUGUCAUGUAGCGGUGAAAUGCUUAGAUAUGACAUGGAACACCAAUUGCGAAGGCAGCUUACUAUGCGGUGAUUGACACUGAGGCACGAAAGCGUGGGUAGCAAACA